rnacentral:rRNA from 1 species
GAUUAACGCUAGCGGCAGGCAUAAUACAUGCAAGUUGAACGAGAUUAGUUUUAGCGAUAGAACUAGUUUAGUGGCGCACGGGUGCGUAACGCGUAUGCAACCUACCUUAAACAGGGGAAUAGCCUCUCGAAAGAGAGAUUAAUACCGCAUAACAUAUAUUUAGAGCAUUCUAGAUAUAUCAAACCUACGGGGGUUUAAGAUGGGCAUGCGUGACAUUAGCUAGUUGGUGAGGUAACGGCUCACCAAGGCAACGAUGUCUAGGGGGUCUGAGAGGAUGUCCCCCACACUGGUACUGAGACACGGACCAGACUCCUACGGGAGGCAGCAGUAGGGAAUAUUGGUCAAUGGAGGCAACUCUGAACCAGCCAUGCCGCGUGCAGGACUAAGGCCCUAUGGGUCGUAAACUGCUUUUGAAUGGGAAGAAAUGUAUCUACGUGUAGAUAUUUGACGGUACCAUUAGAAUAAGGAUCGGCUAACUUCGUGCCAGCAG